UAGAAUGGAAGUGGACACCCUACUCGUGAC
rnacentral:piRNA from 1 species